AUUGAACGCUGGCGGCAUGCUUUACACAUGCAAGUCGAACGGUAACAGGCCGCAAGGUGCUGACGAGUGGCGCACGGGUGCGUAAUGCAUCGGAACGUGCCCAGUCGUGGGGGAUAACUACUCGAAAGAGUAGCUAAUACCGCAUACGAUCUAUGGAUGGAAGCGGGGGACCGUAAGGCCUCGCGCGAUUGGAGCGGCCGAUGUCAGAUUAGGUAGUUGGUGGGGUAAAGGCUCACCAAGCCAACGAUCUGUAGCUGGUCUGAGAGGACGACCAGCCACACUGGGACUGAGACACGGCCCAGACUCCUACGGGAGGCAGCAGUGGGGAAUUUUGGACAAUGGGCGCAAGCCUGAUCCAGCAAUGCCGCGUGCAGGAAGAAGGCCUUCGGGUUGUAAACUGCUUUUGUACGGAACGAAACGGCUCUGGUUAAUACCCGGGGCUAAUGACGGUACCGUAAGAAUAAGCACCGGCUAACUACGUG
rnacentral:rRNA from 1 species